GAAAUGCGAUAAGUAAUGUGAAUUGCAGAAUUCAGUGAAUCAUCGAAUCUUUGAACGCACCUUGCGCUCCUUGGUAUUCCUUGGAGCAUGCCUGGUUGAGUAUCAUGAAAUCUUCAAAGUAAAUCUUUUGUUAACUCAAUUGGUUUCUACUUUGGUAUUGGAGGUCUUUGCAGCUUCACACCUGCUCCUCUUUGUUCAUUAGCUGGAUCUCAGUGUUAUGCUUGGUUCCACUCGGCGUGAUAAGUUAUCUAUCGCUGAGGACACUGUAAAAGGUGGCCAAGGUAAAUGCAGAUGAACCGCUUCUAAUAGUCCAUUGACUUGGACAAUACUUUUAUGAUCUGAUCUCAAAUCAGGUAGAACUACCCGCUGAACUUAAGC
rnacentral:misc_RNA from 1 species